ACCAUUUACACAUUUUGAUCACCAAGGACCACGUGCGACCAUGUGGGCUAUGUGUAUUUUAUGCCUUUGUUAUUGGAGAGUUCAUAUCCGCUCAAAUGUUCAUGGUAAACAUCGUUUCUAUAAACGCUUUUAGCAUGAUAUACAUGAAGAAAGAUAUGAGUUUUGGAAAAUAUGACUGGCGGCUGUUAUCAUUUACUUUUGGCAUUCCGUUUAUAGUUUACUUGUCUGCGGC
rnacentral:lncRNA from 1 species